rnacentral:rRNA from 1 species
CUUUCUGCAAGGUGCUGCAUGGUUGUCGUCAGCUCGUGCCGUGAGGUGUCGGGUUAAGUCCCAUAACGAGCGCAACCCUUAUCGUUAGUUGCCAGCUGGUAAAGCAGGGGACUCUAGCGAAACUGCCACCGUAAGGUGAGAGGAAGUGGGGAUGACGUCAAAUCAGCACGGCCCUUAUGGUCCAGGGCUACACACGUGUUACAAUGGCCGGCACAGAGGGCAGCUACCUGGUGACAGGAUGCUAAUCUCGAAAACCGGUCUCAGUUCGGAUCGAAGUCUGCAACUCGACUUCGUGAAGCUGGAUUCGCUAGUAAUCGCGCAUCAGCCAUGGCGCGGUGAAUACGUUCCCGGGCCUU